CGACAGCUGUCUCUGCUGCAGAGGUUCCCGAAGUGGGACUGUCGUGUCAACUCUGCCAGACGUGACGGGAAGCAGUCGGCAAAGCAAGAGAAGAAGAGCAAGAAGGACAAAGAGCAGAAGCAAAUCCCGAAAAAGGGGAAAGUGGUUUGUGUAAAGUUUCCCGCGCGAGCAGUGGACGAGUCUUACCUCCGAAAUCUCACCAAGGACUUUG
rnacentral:lncRNA from 1 species